rnacentral:lncRNA from 1 species
AAGGGCUCAGUUGCUGAUCAGCCAAUAAAUAAUGCUUUAAAUUGUAUGAUUUGAUCUGAGCAGUCUAUCUCACUUGGAGGUCCCAUGGAGAUCACCUUUGGCUCACCUACUGUCAGAUCUACCAGCACCGCUCUCCACUUAGAGGAUGGCCACCGGGAUUGAUGUUCCCCGGUCCCAGAUAUCUUGUCUCAAACAAGUUUUGUCAAGUGCUGG